rnacentral:misc_RNA from 1 species
GGCGUGUCGGAUCCCUGCUCUGGCAGCGACGGCAUCUCCUGCACGCCUUUUCAGUUGUUGGCUCGGGCAAGUGCUCGGCCGAUGUCGGUUAUCCUGUGCUGAAUACCUAUCGCGAGGGCAUUAAGUCGGCUAGAAUGGUCUAUUUCCCGCCUUGUGCUGCCGCUCCCCRUGGGCGGUGGUGCGGGGUGGGCCAAAUCGCGCUCGCCGUGUGUCGCAUCGUGUUCGCCCUUAAUGGGGCGUUMCGGCUGUCGGCCCACGACGUUAUGCUCGAUCUCUCGGGUACGGUGCAUCAUGUGGGUACGGGGCCGUUGGCCUCCGAGCACCACAAACAAGCGUUCUACGCUUUGUGCGGGCGACUGUCGGUUCGGUCUUUGGCUUUGCUCCCGUAGCUUGGUUCAAGUCGGGCCGACGUCGAUGAGG